rnacentral:rRNA from 1 species
UGGGGAAUAUUGCACAAUGGGCGCAAGCCUGAUGCAGCGACGCCGCGUGCGGGAUGACGGCCUUCGGGUUGUAAACCGCUUUUGAUCGGGAGCAAGCCUUCGGGUGAGUGUACCUUUCGAAUAAGCACCGGCUAACUACGUGCCAGCAGCCGCGGUAAAACGUAGGGUGCAAGCGUUAUCCGGAAUUAUUGGGCGUAAAGGGCUCGUAGGCGGUUCGUCGCGUCCGGUGUGAAAGUCCAUCGCUUAACGGUGGAUCCGCGCCGGGUACGGGCGGGCUUGAGUGCGGUAGGGGAGACUGGAAUUCCCGGUGUAACGGUGGAAUGUGUAGAUAUCGGGAAGAACACCAAUGGCGAAGGCAGGUCUCUGGGCCGUUACUGACGCUGAGGAGCGAAAGCGUGGGGAGCGAACAGGAUUAGAUACCCUGGUAGUCCACGCCGUAAACGGUGGAUGCUGGAUGUGGGGCCCGUUCCACGGGUUCCGUGUCGGAGCUAACGCGUUAAGCAUCCCGCCUGGGGAGUACGGCCGCAAGGCUAAAACUCAAAGAAAUUGACGGGGGCCCGCACAAGCGGCGGAGCAUGCGGAUUAAUUCGAUGCAACGCGAAGAACCUUACCUGGGCUUGACAUGUUCCCGACGGUCGUAGAGAUACGGCUUCCCUUCGGGGCGGGUUCACAGGUGGUGCAUGGUCGUCGUCAGCUCGUGUCGUGAGAUGUUGGGUUAAGUCCCGCAACGAGCGCAACCCUCGCCCCGUGUUGCCAGCGGAUUAUGCCGGGAACUCACGGGGGACCGCCGGGGUUAACUCGGAGGAAGGUGGGGAUGACGUCAGAUCAUCAUGCCCCUUACGUCCAGGGCUUCACGCAUGCUACAAUGGCCGGUACAACGGGAUGCGACGCGGCGACGCGGAGCGGAUCCCUGAAAACCGGUCUCAGUUCGGAUCGCAGUCUGCAACUCGACUGCGUGAAGGCGGAGUCGCUAGUAAUCGCGAAUCAGCAACGUCGCGGUGAAUGCGUUCCC